AACCUGGUUGAUCCUGCCAGUAGUCAUAUGCUUGUCUCAAAGAUUAAGCCAUGCAUGUCUCAGUAUAAGCUUCUAUAUGGCGAAACUGCGAAUGGCUCAUUAAAACAGUUAUAGUUUAUUUGGUGGUCAACUUCUACAUGGAUAACCGUGGUAAUUCUAGAGCUAAUACAUGCGCCCAAACCCAACUUCUUGGAAGGGUUGUGUUUAUUAGAUACAGAACCAACCCAGGCUCCGCCUGGCCUUGAGGUGAUUCAUAAUAACCGAACGAAUCGCAUGGCUCCGCCGGCGAUAGACCAUUCAAGUUUCUGACCUAUCAGCUAUCGUCGGUAGGGUAUUGGCCUACCGUGGCAAUGACGGGUAACGGAGAAUUAGGGUUCGAUUCCGGAGAGGGAGCCUGAGAAACGGCUACCACAUCUAAGGAAGGCAGCAGACGCGCAAAUUACCCAAUCCUGACGCAGGGAGGUAGUGACAAGAAAUAACAGUACAGGGCAUAUCUGUCUUGUAAUUGGAAUGAGUAAACUUUAAAUCACUUUGCGAGUAUCAAUUGGAGGGCAAGUCUGGUGCCAGCAGCCGCGGUAAUUCCAGCUCCAAUAGC
rnacentral:rRNA from 1 species